GGUUUUUCCUCUAUAAGCCUGUUGGUGUAAUCUACAGAGAAGCCCACAUGACUUACGAGGAGAAGUC
rfam:Danio rerio chromosome 5, GRCz11 reference primary assembly.